AUUGAACGCUGGCGGCAGGCUUAACACAUGCAAGUCGAGCGGAGAGAGGCAGCUUGCUACUGAUCUUAGCGGCGGACGGGUGAGUAAUGCUUAGGAAUCUGCCUAUUAGUGGGGGACAACAUUUCGACAGGAAUGCUAAUACCGCAUACGUCCUACGGGAGAAAGCAGGGGAUCUUCGGACCUUGCGCUAAUAGAUGAGCCUAAGUCGGAUUAGCUAGUUGGUGGGGUAAAGGCCUACCAAGGCGACGAUCUGUAGCGGGUCUGAGAGGAUGAUCCGCCACACUGGGACUGAGACACGGCCCAGACUCCUACGGGAGGCAGCAGUGGGGAAUAUUGGACAAUGGGCGGAAGCCUGAUCCAGCCAUGCCGCGUGUGUGAAGAAGGCCUUAUGGUUGUAAAGCACUUUAAGCGAGGAGGAGGCUACUUUAGUUAAUACCUAGAGAUAGUGGACGUUACUCGCAGAAUAAGCACCGGCUAACUCUGUGCCAGCAGCCGCCGUAACAC
rnacentral:rRNA from 1 species